CGCGGCCUGUGAGGGUUGAGCCGUGUAUUUCUGUGAUGAAUUUUAUAUACGCCUCGUCCGUGCAUUCCUUUAGUAUGACAUGAGCUGCCGGUGUACGAAGUGGAGUUUCAGAAAAGUGCGGUGAAAGUGGCGGCCCGUCAGGAACGACUCGAACUGGAAUGGAGAGGAGGAGGAAGAGGAGAAGGAGAGGGAGGGGGAAAUGAAGGAGGAAGAGGAAGAGGAGGAGAAGGACGAAAGAGGCACAACAACACAGGAGGUUCAGCUAACAGAUUAUUAUACUCCCUGUUUAUUUAUUUAGCCUCGUCCUCUUCCUCUUCGUCCUCCUCCUCUUCAGCCUCGUCCUCGACCUCUCAGUCAUCCUCGUCCUUCUAUUACUCGUCCUCGUCUCUGCAAGUCUGCCAAAGAAAAUAAGGUGUUGAGACCGCGGUGAAACUGAAAAAAAAGUAAAAAAAGUGAAAAAAAUGGAAAACAGUGGAUCAUAAUUGUAGAAAAACCUUAAAAAAAACUGUGAUUACAUAGAACAGAAAAACAAUUACAAAUAAAAAAACACUCGUCACAUCUCGUCGUCAUCGCCUUCGUCAGGAGGAGAGCACCACUUCGAGAAGGUGAGUGUUCCUGAAUUAAGUUACUAUAAAUAUUCUCUCUCUUUUUGCGUCAUAUUCUUGUUUACUGCUGCGUUUUUUCUUAUCUCUGGGGAAGGGAGGCUUGAUACUGUUCAGGAGUGC